UUGCUGCAUGGCUUCUUUGUUUCCAGGCUUAAAUGGAUUUUUGUUUGUUUGUUUGAGUCAAUCAAACCUGUGCUUUCGAUCAAAGGUUAGCAGAUUUUUUUAUAAAAUAUUUGGGAGAAAAACAAAAUAAAUGUUGUGCAGGGGAAAAUGUUGCAAAAACCUCCAAGGAUAGAUCUGGAGUGAAUGAAACGAAUGCAUCCUUAACGUUAAAGAAAGAAUAAGAAAUAAUUAAGUUGACUGGCCUUGGGACCUCGUAGCUUUCUGCUUUGGAAACUAUCAUGAGACAUCUUAAUACAGAACCUUCUACUAUUUUGAUGUUUCUUGAGCUAAGAAAUUGAGCCCGAUCCUGCAACAUGGACAGCCUUAGAGGAGGAACUUUAUAUUCAGUUAAUGGUGAAAGAGGUUCACAAAGGGAAUAGAUCAUCAACCACCUUUUCAAGGAAAGGUUGGAAACAAAUUGAACAAGAGUUCUAUGAGAAAACCAACAAGAGGUACAACAAUUCUCAGUUUAGAAAUAAGUUUAACCAGCUGAG